AGUUGGGUUUGAAGGGACACAUUGUCAUUUUUUGGAUCAAAUGCCAUUUUGGAUUACUACCAUGAUAGCCCUGGCAGAACUUCACACAGACAAAAACGACUCCCUGGAAUGGGCGCUCAGCCUGAAGGUCAGAGAGGAUGACUCACUGCUGACGUUGGAAGGCCCAUCUGAAACCCACUGCCGUCACACGCAGAGGCUGUGCACAGCCGAGACAGAGGAUACUGCAGCCUACCACCGGGACAGAAAGAACGCUAGAGAGAUGUCUGCUUUACAAAAAGCCCUGCAGCGUCCUGAGCCAGUUCCCCGCUCUAGAUGGUUGUUCCUAUUAUUACUCAGCUCCUGGGUUUUCUUUCUCUAUUUCCACCUGAUUACGUGUCAGGUGAUUGUCAGUCAUAAGACAGUUUGGUCACAUGAUAAGAUGGUCUGUGAUACCUGAAUACUUCCUCCCUCCCAUCAAAGUUGCACCAAUAAACAGAACAAUUUUGGUGAAAA